rnacentral:rRNA from 1 species
AGAGUUUGAUCCUGGCUCAGGAUGAACGCUAGCGGCAGGCCUAACACAUGCAAGUCGAGGGGUAGAGGGUGCUUGCACCCUUGAGACCGGCGCACGGGUGCGUAACGCGUAUGCAACCUACCUAUUGCAGGGGAAUAGCCCAGGGAAACUUGGAUUAAUGCCCCAUAGUCCAUAUUGAGAGCAUUCGAUAUAUGGUAAAGAUUUAUCGGCAAUAGAUGGGCAUGCGUCCCAUUAGCUAGUUGGUAUGGUAACGGCAUACCAAGGCAACGAUGGGUAGGGGCCCUGAGAGGGGGAUCCCCCACACUGGUACUGAGACACGGACCAGACUCCUACGGGAGGCAGCAGUGAGGAAUAUUGGACAAUGGGCGGGAGCCUGAUCCAGCCAUGCCGCGUGCAGGAAGACUGCCCUAUGGGUUGUAAACUGCUUUUUUACGGGAAGAAACACCCCCACGUGUGGGGGCUUGACGGUACCGUACGAAUAAGGACCGGCUAACUCCGUGCCAGCAGCCGCGGUAAUACGGAGGGUCCGAGCGUUAUCCGGAAUCAUUGGGUUUAAAGGGUCCGUAGGCGGGCGUCUAAGUCAGUGGUGAAAUCUCGCGGCUCAACCGUGAAAUUGCCAUUGAUACUGGUCGCCUUGAAUUAGUGUGAAGUGGCUAGAAUAUGUAGUGUAGCGGUGAAAUGCUUAGAUAUCACAUAGAAUACCGAUUGCGAAGGCAGGUCGCUAACGACGCAUUGACGCUGAUGGACGAAAGCGUGGGGAGCGAACAGGAUUAGAUACCCUGGUAGUCCACGCCGUAAACGAUGGAUACUAGCUGUCCGUCCCGAGUUGUCGGGAUGGGUGGCCAAGCGAAAGUGAUAAGUAUCCCACCUGGGGAGUACGUUCGCAAGAAUGAAACUCAAAGGAGUUGACGGGGGCCCGCACAAGCGGUGGA